rnacentral:rRNA from 1 species
GAUGAACGCUGGCGGCGUGCCUAAUACAUGCAAGUCGAGCGAACAGACGAGGAGCUUGCUCCUCUGACGUUAGCGGCGGACGGGUGAGUAACACGUGGAUAACCUACCUAUAAGACAGGGAUAACUUCGGGAAACCGGAGCUAAUACCGGAUAAUAUAUUGAACCGCAUGGUUCAAUAGUGAAAGACGGUUUUGCUGUCACUUAUAGAUGGAUCCGCGCCGCAUUAGCUAGUUGGUAAGGUAACGGCUUACCAAGGCAACGAUGCGUAGCCGACCUGAGAGAGUGAUCGGCCACACUGGAACUGAGACACGGUCCAGACUCCUACGGGAGGCAGCAGUAGGGAAUCUUCCGCAAUGGGCGAAAGCAUGACGGAGCAACGCCGCGUGAGUGAUGAAGGUCUUCGGAUCGUAAAACUCUGUUAUUAGGGAAGAACAAAUGUGUAAGUAACUAUGCACGUCUUGACGGUACCUAAUCAGAAAGCCACGGCUAACUACGUG